GUAAGAGGAAGAAAGGAGAAUGAAGAAGAAGAAGAAGAGAGGAGAAGAAGAGAGGAGAAGAAGAGAAAGGAAAAGAGAGAAAUUGCUAUAGAGAUCGACUUGCUUGGGAGAUUGCUAGAGGAUUCAGCAAAAAGGAAUCCCAGAUAGCCAUUAGAGAGAUUCCUCUGCACCAGGAGAGAUUGUGGACCUUGAUAUUCACUGAAUCCCAGAUAGUCGUGAGAGAGAUUCCUCGGCGCCAGGAGAGAUUGUGAGCCUUGAUAUUCACUAUGAUGGAACCGAUGCUAAGGCAGGAUUGGACUUUGGCGGCAAUUGUGAGGCUCGGGUCAAUGAGACACUGGGUUGCUGAUGGAUUUCAUUACUGUUAUUCAGUAAUUUCUUUUGAUAUACAUUGAUGUUAUAUGUAAGAGGCAAAUAUUACACCUGUGGGUUGUAACAAAUGAAUUUUUGUAUAUUUGUAAUUUUUCACUU